rnacentral:rRNA from 1 species
UACGGAGGGGGCCAGCGUUGUUCGGAAUUAUUGGGCGUAAAGGGCGCGUAGGCGGCCGGAUAAGUCUGAUGUGAAAUCCCACGGCUCAACCGUGGGACUGCAUCUGAAACUGUUCGGCUCGAGUCCGGGAGAGGGUAGUGGAAUUCCCAGUGUAGCGGUGAAAUGCGUAGAUAUUGGGAGGAACACCGGUGGCGAAGGCGGCUACCUGGACCGGUACUGACGCUGAGGCGCGAAAGCUAGGGUAGCAAACAGG